rnacentral:rRNA from 1 species
AUGGACCAUGGCGGUGGCGGCGGCAGGAGUAGCAGCCGCCUCCGGGACCGUCUGGCCCGGAUGUUCCGUCCGGGCUCGCUGCUCCGCUCGACCUGCAACAACAACACCGCGUCGACCUCCUCCUCCUCCUCCUGCUCCGCCGCGGUGGGCGCGGCAGCCGACGGGGUGACCGCGUCCAAGCCGCCCCCGAGCUCCGUCUGCUCCUCCAGCCGCGCGCUCUUGGCCGCCGACUCCGCCAUCUCCCGCGACAGGGACUCGUUCCUUACCUCUUCUCGCCGCGACUACGCCACCAUCGUUGGCCGCACCGAGUCCUUCUCCAACGCCCUCGACCGCGUGCACCGCCGCGCCGGCGCCGCGGUGCAUUCUCUGCCGCCUCCGGCUCGCUUCUCCAUGCACGCGUCGCCUCUGAUGGAGAGCAAGAAAAAGAGCCCUCUCCACGGCAGUCAUCGGCACCACCGCCACCGCCUCGGUGGCCGGGUCAAGGGCGACAAGAGCAAGAAGCUGCUCUCCAACAACCCCUAUGGCUUCAGCACCUCGGACACCGACGGCGACGACGUCUUCAGCAGCGACGCUGACGAGCACGGCCGCAGCGACGCCAAGAAGGGGGACGCGGAGGCAUUCUUCUCCUCCUCCAGAAGCUUCUCCUUCUCCUCCGACUCCUCCGAGUUCUACAGCAAGAAGAAGAAACCAAAGAAGUCCCCUGCCGCAGUGGCGCCCAAGCCGCCGCCGCCGCCGCCGCCGAGAGCGAGGGCCAGGGGGCAGAGGCGCAAGAAUCGCGUGGCGAGCAGCUGCGACACGUGCGGCGUGAGGGAAGGGUUCCGGCCGGUGGUGUCGGCGGCGGAGGAGCAGGUGCGCAGGGGGUUCGCGGUGGUGCAGCGGUCGCGGGACCCCUACGCCGACUUCCGGGCGUCGAUGGUGGAGAUGGUGGUGAGCCGGCAGAUGUUCGGCGCGGUGGAGCUGGAGCGGCUGCUGCGGUCGUACCUCUCGCUCAACGCGCCGCGCCACCACCCCGUCAUCCUCCAGGCCUUCUCCGACAUCUGGGUCGUCCUCCACGGCGGCUAG